rnacentral:rRNA from 1 species
AAAUGCUUAGAUAUUACACAGAACACCGAUUGCGAAGGCAGCUUACUAUACUAUGAUUGACGCUGAGGCACGAAAGCGUGGGGAGCGAACAGGAUUAGAUACCCUGGUAGUCCACGCUGUAAACUAUGAUCACUGGUUGUUGGCAAUAUACCGUCAGCGACUGAGCGAAAGCAUUAAGUGAUCCACCUGGGGAGUACGUCGGCAACGAUGAAACUCAAAGGAAUUGACGGGGGCCCGCACAACCGGAGGAACAUGUGGUUUAAUUCGAUGAUACGCGAGGAACCUUACCUGGGCUUAAAUGUAGAGUGCAUAGAGUGGAAACAUUCUUUUCCUUCGGGACUCUUUACAAGGUGCUGCAUGGUUGUCGUCAGCUCGUGCCGUGAGGUGUCGGGUUAAGUCCCAUAACGAGCGCAACCCUUGUCGUUAGUUGCUAGCAGGUCAAGCUGAGGACUCUAACGAGACUGCCGGUGUAAACCGAGAGGAAGGUGGGGAUGACGUCAAAUCAGCACGGCCCUUAUGUCCAGGGCUACACACGUGUUACAAUGGCCAGUACAAGGAGCAGCCACCUGGCAACAGGGCGCUAAUCUCAAAAGCUGGUCACAGUUCGGAUCGGAGUCUGCAACUCGACUUCGUGAAGGUGGAUUCGCUAGUAAUCGCGCAUCAGCCACGGCGCGGUGAUACGUUCCCGGGCAUUGUACACACCGCCCGUCAAACCAUGGAAGCUGGGGUACCUGAAGUCCGAACCGCAAGGGCGGCCUAGGUAAA